GUGUAUUUAGAAAGGAGAGCUAGUUAGCACUCCCCUAGACAAGGAUGGAAACACAUAAAUGGCCGGAAUAGGCACAGACAAAGUUCCGGUCGCAAAUUUUU